rnacentral:tRNA from 1 species
AGGGGUAUAGCUCAGUGGUAGAGCACAUGCUUAGCAUGCACAAGGUCUUGGGUUCAAUCCCUGGCACCUCUA